rnacentral:rRNA from 1 species
AAGGAACUAGGCAAAAUGGUGCCGUAACUUCGGGAGAAGGCACGCUGGUGUGUAGGUGAAGUCCCUGCGGAUGGAGCUGAGACCAGUCGAAGAUACCAGCUGGCUGCAACUGUUUAUUAAAAACACAGCACUGUGCAAACACGAAAGUGGACGUAUACGGUGUGACGCCUGCCCGGUGCCGGAAGGUUAAUUGAUGGGGUUAUCCGUAAGGAGAAGCUCUUGAUCGAAGCCCCGGUAAACGGCGGCCGUAACUAUAACGGUCCUAAGGUAGCGAAAUUCCUUGUCGGGUAAGUUCCGACCUGCACGAAUGGCGUAAUGAUGGCCAGGCUGUCUCCACCCGAGACUCAGUGAAAUUGAACUCGCUGUGAAGAUGCAGUGUACCCGCGGCAAGACGGAAAGACCCCGUGAACCUUUACUAUAGCUUGACACUGAACAUUGAGCCUUGAUGUGUAGGAUAGGUGGGAGGCUUUGAAGCGUGGACGCCAGUCUGCGUGGAGCCAACCUUGAAAUACCACCCUUUAAUGUUUGAUGUUCUAACGUUGGCCCCUGACCGGGGUUGCGGACAGUGUCUGGUGGGUAGUUUGACUGGGGCGGUCUCCUCCCAAAGCGUAACGGAGGAGCACGAAGGUUAGCUAAUCCUGGUCGGACAUCAGGAGGUUAGUGCAAUGGCAUAAGCUAGCUUGACUGCGAGCGUGACGGCGCGAGCAGGUGCGAAAGCAGGUCAUAGUGAUCCGGUGGUUCUGAAUGGAAGGGCCAUCGCUCAACGGAUAAAAGGUACUCCGGGGAUAACAGGCUGAUACCGCCCAAGAGUUCAUAUCGACGGCGGUGUUUGGCACCUCGAUGUCGGCUCAUCACAUCCUGGGGCUGAAGUAGGUCCCAAGGGUAUGGCUGUUCGCCAUUUAAAGUGGUACGCGAGCUGGGUUUAGAACGUCGUGAGACAGUUCGGUCCCUAUCUGCCGUGGGCGCUGGAGAAUUGAGGGGGGCUGCUCCUAGUACGAGAGGACCGGAGUGGACGCAUCACUGGUGUUCGGGUUGUCAUGCCAAUGGCACUGCCCGGUAGCUAAAUGCGGAAGAGAUAAGUGCUGAAAGCAUCUAAGCACGAAACUUGCCCCGAGAUGAGUUCUCCCUGAGACUAUAAGUCUCCUGAAGGAACGUUGAAGACGACGACGUUGAUAGGCCGGGUGUGUAAGCGCAGCGAUGCGUUGAGCUAACCGGUACUAAUGAACCGUGAGGCUUAACCUU